rnacentral:misc_RNA from 1 species
UGCAGCUGAGCAUCGAGCAGG